GUCUUCCGACACUGGGCUUCCGGGAGGCCGUGUUGUUUUACACAGCAUGCCGGGAGCGGUAGUCUUCCGGCACUGGGCUUCCGGUCGGCCAUGUUGUUUUCCGAGGAAUGCCGGGAGCGGUAGUCUUCCGGCACUGGGCUUCCGGGGGGGGGCAUGUUGUUUUGCGCAGCAUGCCGGGAGCGGUAGUCUUCCGGCACUGGGCUUCCGGGAGGCCAUGUUGUUUUGCGCGGCAUGCCGGGAGUGGUAGUCUUCCGGCACUGGGCUUCCGGGGGGGGGCCAGGUUGGUGUCCAAAAGGUAGUGCUGCGCCCGAAAGAGAAGCGCAUGCGCACUGGCUUUCCCGUGCUCAUUGCAGCCCUCGGGUGUGUCGACACGCCAGUACUGCAGCCACCAUGGGCCACCUCCGCAUACGAAGGACAUUGCGGGCAGCCGUCGCACACACGUGCAGUGCCAGUCGCCGUGUUCACCGCUACUCUCCACUCUUUCGGUAACGGCUGCCCCAAAGCCACAGGCUUCCCCGGUGCAGCAUGUGUCGAUGGGUCCGCCGUUGCCUCUGACGUCUCCCCAGGCACUCGUACGCUGCGCAGGGGGUCUGGAUGUCCCAGCAGUGGCACAGCAGCCGGAUGCGUCCUCUCRUCUGGGACGCGGGGUCCUUCACCGCUAUUCUGGGAUACAGCGCCCUUGCCAGCUCUCCGGAGCCUCUUUACGUGCGAGAUGUGGCUGAUCUGGGAUAAUCGUGCUGUGCAGUUGUGGAGGAUUUUCUAGAGGAAAAUGGACAUGUGAGCAAUCCAGCCCUAAUGCUAAUAGCAAGAGUGUGAAAGUAGGUUUUGCGGCCUACUGGUAAGGUUAUUAGAGGGCAUGCAAUGUGGUGAGAAACUGUCCUUGGAAGGAGAAAAACAACUCCCAGGAAAAACAACUCCCAGAUGUUCAGUGAGAAACUUAGGGGCUUAGGUAAUUUCUUUGCCUCCUCGAAGACAGUAAAUGCUAUCCAAUCAUAUACUGUUUAGAUGUGCGUGCUAAAUGAACAUGUACCAAUCACUGUAUAGUUUGAGUCACGGGAUCACUGUUAAGGCAUAUAAAAGAUGCUAUUUGGGCUUAAUAAAGUGUCAGCAUUUAAUCA
rnacentral:lncRNA from 1 species